rnacentral:rRNA from 1 species
UAAGGAAUAUUGGGCAAUGGACGCAAGUCUGAACCAGCCUUGCCGCGUGAAGGAAGACGGCCCUAUGGGUUGUAAACUUCUUUUCUCAGGGGGUAAACUCCGGAACGUGUUCCGGACUGAAAGUACCUGAGGAAUAAGCAUCGGCUAACUCCGUGCCAGCAGCCGCGGUAAUACGUAGGGUGCGAGCGUUAAUCGGAAUUACUGGGCGUAAAGCGUGCGCAGGCGGUUAGGUAAGUUUGAUGUGAAAUCCCCGGGCUCAACCUGGGAACUGCAUUGAAGACUGCCUAACUAGAGUACGGCAGAGGGGGGUGGAAUUCCACGUGUAGCAGUGAAAUGCGUAGAGAUGUGGAGGAACACCGGUGGCGAAGGCGGCUGCCUGGACCGAUAUUGACGCUGAGAC